UACGUAGGGUGCGAGCGUUAAUCGGAAUUACUGGGCGUAAAGCGUGCGCAGGCGGUUUUGUAAGACAGAUGUGAAAUCCCCGGGCUUAACCUGGGAACUGCGUUUGUGACUGCAAGACUCGAGUACGGCAGAGGGGGGUGGAAUUCCACGUGUAGCAGUGAAAUGCGUAGAGAUGUGGAGGAACACCGACGGCGAAGGCAGCCCCCUGGGUCGAUACUGACGCUCAUGCACGAAAGCGUGGGGAGCAAACAGG
rnacentral:rRNA from 1 species